GUGCACGCUGGCGGUAGGCCUAACACAUGCAAGUCGAACGGCAGCACCGUAAGAGCUUGCUCUUACGGGUGGCGAGUGGCGGACGGGUGAGGAAUACAUCGGAAUCUACUUUUUCGUGGGGGAUAACGUAGGGAAACUUACGCUAAUACCGCAUACGACCUACGGGUGAAAGCAGGGGAUCUUCGGACCUUGCGCGAUUGAAUGAGCCGAUGUCGGAUUAGCUAGUUGGCGGGGUAAAGGCCCACCAAGGCGACGAUCCGUAGCUGGUCUGAGAGGAUGAUCAGCCACACUGGAACUGAGACACGGUCCAGACUCCUACGGGAGGCAGCAGUGGGGAAUAUUGGACAAUGGGCGCAAGCCUGAUCCAGCCAUACCGCGUGGGUGAAGAAGGCCUUCGGGUUGUAAAGCCCUUUUGUUGGGAAAGAAAAGCAGCAGGUUAAUACCCCGCUGUUCUGACGGUACCCAAAGAAUAAGCACCGGCGAACUUCGU
rnacentral:rRNA from 1 species